AAGUUUUUCUGACCAAGUUUGGGAGAAGCCCAGGUCUAUGUGUAGUGUAUAAACAUAAAUAUUUAGGUGGCGAUUUGACAGCAUGAUUAUUUAGUAAACUAACAAUAGCAUGUUCUAUGCUAAGGCCUAUGACCUCCUUAAACAUGGGCAUUUGACCAGAAUUACAAUACUAGGCAUGAAGUUUCUCAUAUGGAGCAGGCCUUACAUCCGAUCAGAAACCAAUUAGUUCAUAACAGUCAUGUAUUGCAACAGUGAGCACAUCUUUCCUGGCAGAUUAGUAUUGCAGCGUGCAGAGUCUAGCACCAGAUAAGUCCAUUAAUGUCUUCUCUCCCACCAGCCGGAAUAGCACCUUCUGACAGCAGGAAAGCUAGCCACCAGAGAGAAAGUUUCCUGGUCAGUUUGGCAUUGAUCUAUGUCCUGCAUCCAAACUAUGUAGUGUCUUCAGCAGUAGGUCAUCAUUUAGCCAUGGUGGUUAACCAAGAGCAAUGGCAACAGCUGGUGUUUUGGAGGCUUCUGAGACCUUCUUACUAGUAACUCAUUGGGAGUUAGCCCAUGCUUUGCGCUUAAUAACCCAUGUAUUCUGGGGAUGACUUUGUCUAACCAUGCUAGGUACUUCUUUUGAAACUUUUUAAAUUGUAUUUUGAAGUUAGCUUAUUAACUGAUGGAAUUUUAUAAGGUUAUGUCAUAUAUCCUUUGUUUGAUGAAUGCACCCAUUGUCCUACCUGUCCCUGUCCCAUCCCUUCUUUACCCCGCAGUAUUCUUCACCUAUUUUUCAUUUCAUAUGUAUUCUAUUCCCUCCUCCAGCUACUUUUUAAAACUGUGGCAUGAGGCUUCUAUAGGGCACUGGUAAGCUUGAUGCGUACAUAUGCAUUACCUACCUAAUGUCUCUUGGUUGUUUUAAGGGAAAUGAGCUCAAACCCAGCAUGUUCAAACUGAAUCACAACUCAUAGAUGUGAAUCAUUCCUUUGAAUUUUUAUUUUUUAUAUAUCUACUCAAACUCCAGAUCUUCCCCACUGCUAUAUCUUGAAGCCAUUCAUUUCACGGUUUCUGUAGUCAUUUUCCUAACUCAACUGUAAUCACUUCCCUAUUAUUGCUGCUGUAUAAAAUCCAAUCUUAGGCAUGCAAUCAUUGAAGUCUGAGGAAAAACGUGAUCUUACAAUCCCUCUUCUUAAAUUUCUUGAAUACUUACAUUAAUCUCAGAUAGUUGGAGGUUUCUUUCUUCCUAGGGAGGACAAGAACUGCAUGUUUUGUGUACUGCUAUUAAUACCAUCUUGGUCCAGUACUGAUUUUUUUUUGUCUAAGAUGAAUAAACCAUAGGAAAUAUUUAAAAGUUAAGUUUCCUCUAUAUUGAAAUAAGCUUGAGAUAUACUGCAGUGAGGGGAAAACGUCAAAAUAUCAGUGGUUUUAACCUCAUGCUUGUACAUGAUACAUGUAUAGUUUGCUCCGUUUGUUCUCCACAAUUAGAAACUCAAUUAGAGGCACCACAAUGCCCACAGACCAAGGAUCUUUCAAAUAUUUCUCUGACUUGGAAGAGGCAUACUUCCACUCAUGUACUAUUUUUGUUCAAAGUAUGUAAGCAAACCACAUGUCCAUAGGGAGAGGGAAACAAAUGUUUGUAUGUAGCCCAGUAAUAAAGUCUUCUCAGGGUAUCUUAAUACAGUCACUUCUAGUUGCACAUGACAUGAAUUCAGCUCAGUCCUACUUAAAGGGUGAUGAGGAAAAUAUCCCUUGAUUUAAAAAGGAAACAACGUGAGUAGCUCGUAAAAUUGAAGUAAUGAUUAUCAAUGAGAAUGCAGGAAUGCAUCUAGACCUCACUGAUUGGGAACCAAGACUGCCCAAGUCUUGUCUCUUUCUGUAGGUUUGCUUCACCCUCUGUCACAGAAUGCCUGGUUGUCCUUCGUGCCCCUGAUCCUUCCAAGCCUCAUACUCAUUGAUGCUUACCUUGCCAGGAAAGGCUAAAUUUUUGUGUCAUUCGUUUUCCAGCUUUCUUAAUAAUGCUUGGUCAUAGGAGUUACAUAUACAUUUCCAGACCGUCAGUUUAUGAACCAGGGAAUACAGUCAAGAGAACAAAUUCGAUAACCACCCUUCAAAGAUGGAGACUAUGAUGGCUAAUUUUAUGUGUCAGUGUGGCUAGACAAGCUCUAAUCUACAUGUUUCUAUGAAGGCAAUUUAUAUGUAGUUGCUGUUUACAAUUGGCAGUUCAAGUAGACGAGACUACCUUCAAUAGUAUGGACAGAUGUUAGCGAUAGGCAAUUUUAUGUAAAUCAUUCCACAAAGUGUAUCCUCAGUUCUAUAAAGAUGACAAAAGGAUGAUAUCCCACAUUAUGCAAAAAUGUUGGAUUUUUUUAUUAUUUUAGUGCUAUUUUUGUAUUUUGUGUGUGAUGUAAUGAGUUUUUGUUUUGUUUUGUUUUUUGUUUUUUUUUGUGUGUGUGUGUGUAUGUUUGUUUGCUUGUUUUGUUUUGUUUGUCCCUAAAGCUAGAUAGAAAAUCUUGGGCACACCCUCAUGUGUAUGCAUGAGUCUUAACAGCUAAGAUGUAGUCUGUAUCCCACCAUCUGUUGGGUUCUAUCUCAGCAAAAUUACCAGGGUGGAGUUGGUUUAAACAGCAUUGAAAAACCCAUUUAAUUUUUCCCUUUUGUUUUUCAAAGAGCCACGGACUAAUCACUGUCAAAGAGAAGGAGCUUAGGUUCUAUGCUUCCUUUGUGUUUGUAUGAGGCUUCCAUUGAUGAAGGGAAUUUUAGCUAUAAGUGGGUGUUUAAUGUACUAGUCCUCUUCUGCUUGCUAAACGUUUGUAAAGUGGGAGUUAAAAUCUAAAUCCAAAUGUCUCUGUGGUUUUGAAAUGCAUAUUUAAAAAUAUAAUUUAUAUCUCCCACCCUUCUACUUCUGACUGGUGAUAAAACUUUCUCUUUGGGGGCUUAUGAUGGAUAAGGGGAUAGAGGAACUCAUAAAGGAAAAAAUAAAGCAAUAAGUUGAUAUU
rnacentral:lncRNA from 1 species